rnacentral:rRNA from 1 species
GGUUAAGCGACUAAGCGUACACGGUGGAUGCCCUGGCAGUCAGAGGCGAUGAAGGACGUGCUAAUCUGCGAAAAGCGUCGGUAAGGUGAUAUGAACCGUUAUAACCGGCGAUGUCCGAAUGGGGAAACCCAGUGUGUUUCGACACACUAUCAUUAACUGAAUCCAUAGGUUAAUGAGGCGAACCGGGGGAACUGAAACAUCUAAGUACCCCGAGGAAAAGAAAUCAACCGAGAUUCCCCCAGUAGCGGCGAGCGAACGGGGAGGAGCCCAGAGCCUGAAUCAGUGUGUGUGUUAGUGGAAGCGUCUGGAAAGGCGCGCGAUACAGGGUGACAGCCCCGUACACAAAAAUGCACAUGCUGUGAGCUCGAUGAGUAGGGCGGGACACGUGGUAUCCUGUCUGAAUAUGGGGGGACCAUCCUCCAAGGCUAAAUACUCCUGACUGACCGAUAGUGAACCAGUACCGUGAGGGAAAGGCGAAAAGAACCCCGGCGAGGGGAGUGAAAAAGAACCUGAAACCGUGUACGUACAAGCAGUGGGAGCCCUGAUUUAUCAGGGUGACUGCGUACCUUUUGUAUAAUGGGUCAGCGACUUAUAUUCUGUAGCAAGGUUAACCGAAUAGGGGAGCCGGAGGGAAACCGAGUCUUAACUGGGCGUUAAGUUGCAGGGUAUAGACCCGAAACCCGGUGAUCUAGCCAUGGGCAGGUUGAAGGUUGGGUAACACUAACUGGAGGACCGAACCGACUAAUGUUGAAAAAUUAGCGGAUGACUUGUGGCUGGGGGUGAAAGGCCAAUCAAACCGGGAGAUAGCUGGUUCUCCCCGAAAGCUAUUUAGGUAGCGCCUCGUGAAUUCAUCUCCGGGGGUAGAGCACUGUUUCGGCAAGGGGGUCAUCCCGACUUACCAACCCGAUGCAAACUGCGAAUACCGGAGAAUGUUAUCACGGGAGACACACGGCGGGUGCUAACGUCCGUCGUGAAGAGGGAAACAACCCAGACCGCCAGCUAAGGUCCCAAAGUCAUGGUUAAGUGGGAAACGAUGUGGGAAGGCCCAGACAGCCAGGAUGUUGGCUUAGAAGCAGCCAUCAUUUAAAGAAAGCGUAAUAGCUCACUGGUCGAGUCGGCCUGCGCGGAAGAUGUAACGGGGCUAAACCAUGCACCGAAGCUGCGGCAGCGACGCUGAUGCGUUGUUGGGUAGGGGAGCGUUCUGUAAGCCUGUGAAGGUGUGCUGUGAGGCAUGCUGGAGGUAUCAGAAGUGCGAAUGCUGACAUAAGUAACGAUAAAGCGGGUGAAAAGCCCGCUCGCCGGAAGACCAAGGGUUCCUGUCCAACGUUAAUCGGGGCAGGGUGAGUCGACCCCUAAGGCGAGGCCGAAAGGCGUAGUCGAUGGGAAACAGGUUAAUAUUCCUGUACUUGGUGUUACUGCGAAGGGGGGACGGAGAAGGCUAUGUUGGCCGGGCGACGGUUGUCCCGGUUUAAGCGUGUAGGCUGGUUUUCCAGGCAAAUCCGGAAAAUCAAGGCUGAGGCGUGAUGACGAGGCACUACGGUGCUGAAGCGACAAAUGCCCUGCUUCCAGGAAAAGCCUCUAAGCAUCAGGUAACAUCAAAUCGUACCCCAAACCGACACAGGUGGUCAGGUAGAGAAUACCAAGGCGCUUGAGAGAACUCGGGUGAAGGAACUAGGCAAAAUGGUGCCGUAACUUCGGGAGAAGGCACGCUGAUAUGUAGGUGAAGCGACUUGCUCGUGGAGCUGAAAUCAGUCGAAGAUACCAGCUGGCUGCAACUGUUUAUUAAAAACACAGCACUGUGCAAACACGAAAGUGGACGUAUACGGUGUGACGCCUGCCCGGUGCCGGAAGGUUAAUUGAUGGGGUCAGCGCAAGCGAAGCUCUUGAUCGAAGCCCCGGUAAACGGCGGCCGUAACUAUAACGGUCCUAAGGUAGCGAAAUUCCUUGUCGGGUAAGUUCCGACCUGCACGAAUGGCGUAAUGAUGGCCAGGCUGUCUCCACCCGAGACUCAGUGAAAUUGAACUCGCUGUGAAGAUGCAGUGUACCCGCGGCAAGACGGAAAGACCCCGUGAACCUUUACUAUAGCUUGACACUGAACACUGGUCCUUGAUGUGUAGGAUAGGUGGGAGGCUUUGAAGUGUGGACGCCAGUCUGCAUGGAGCCGUCCUUGAAAUACCACCCUUUAAUGGCUGGUGUUCUAACGUGGGCCCGUAAUCCGGGUUGCGGACAGUGUCUGGUGGGUAGUUUGACUGGGGCGGUCUCCUCCUAAAGAGUAACGGAGGAGCACGAAGGUUGGCUAAUCCUGGUCGGACAUCAGGAGGUUAGUGCAAUGGCAUAAGCCAGCUUGACUGCGAGCGUGACGGCGCGAGCAGGUGCGAAAGCAGGUCAUAGUGAUCCGGUGGUUCUGAAUGGAAGGGCCAUCGCUCAACGGAUAAAAGGUACUCCGGGGAUAACAGGCUGAUACCGCCCAAGAGUUCAUAUCGACGGCGGUGUUUGGCACCUCGAUGUCGGCUCAUCACAUCCUGGGGCUGAAGUAGGUCCCAAGGGUAUGGCUGUUCGCCAUUUAAAGUGGUACGCGAGCUGGGUUUAGAACGUCGUGAGACAGUUCGGUCCCUAUCUGCCGUGGGCGCUGGAGAACUGAGGGGGGCUGCUCCUAGUACGAGAGGACCGGAGUGGACGCAUCACUGGUGUUCGGGUUGUCAUGCCAAUGGCACUGCCCGGUAGCUAAAUGCGGAAGAGAUAAGUGCUGAAAGCAUCUAAGCACGAAACUUGCCCCGAGAUGAGUUCUCCCUGAGACUUAGAGUCUCCUGAAGGAACGUUGAAGACGACGACGUUGAUAGGCCGGGUGUGUAAGCGCAGCGAUGCGUUGAGCUAACCGGUACUAAUGAACCGUGAGGCUUAACCUU